GCCUCGAUGGCGCAGUGGGCAGCGCGUGAGUCUCAUAAUCUCAAGGUCGUGAGUUCGAUCCUCACUCGGGGCA
rfam:Ciona savignyi cont_24541, whole genome shotgun sequence.